rnacentral:rRNA from 1 species
UACGUAGGGCGCAAGCGUUGUCCGGAAUUAUUGGGCGUAAAGAGCUCGUAGGCGGCUUGUCACGUCGGAUGUGAAAGCCCGGGGCUUAACUCCGGGUCUGCAUUCGAUACGGGCUGGCUAGAGUGUGGUAGGGGAGAUCGGAAUUCCUGGUGUAGCGGUGAAAUGCGCAGAUAUCAGGAGGAACACCGGUGGCGAAGGCGGAUCUCUGGGCCGUAACUGACGCUGAGGAGCGAAAGCGUGGGGAGCGAACAGG